AUAUAUAUAUAUAUAUAUAUAUAUAUAAAACAUUAACAAAAGUUAUGAAAUAUCUAGCUAGCUAGCGAGCUAGCUAACUAGCAAGCUAGCUAUCUCCCAUCUAGCUCUAUUAUCUUGUCUAUUAUCUAUUCAUCUUUAGUCGAAGAUGUAAGGUGUUAUGUAUGAUAUUUGUGGAUUUUGUUGAUGUUUUGGAUGUUUAUACGGCUUUGGUACAUGCUUGCCGGGCACACAUGCCGGAUGAUGCAGACGGAUUGUCGUGUGUGUGUGUGUGUGUGUGUGUGUGUGUGUGUGUGUGCGUGUCUGCGUGUGUGUGUCCGCGCCCCCAGGUAGUCUGAAUGUGCGCCAGUGGGGCAUCCGCGACUUUGACAGCUGCAUGGAGCCUUUUCACCAUGCAGUCGUCAUCUCAGAUAAUAUCCCCAACGCUCUCUCUUUUCGACAAUUUGUGUAUGAAUAACCGAAUAAUUUCCCCUCUUUGUUCCAUCCGCACUACCUCCAAACCAAAAUAAAGAUGCCUUUUAGUAUUAAAGUGGUAGAAAAUUACAGGUAAUUAUCUUUGACGGUAAAAACGCUGUAAUCAGCGGGCUACAUCAAAAAUUACCCUAAUUAUGCCUGCAUUUAUGAGAAAGAGGGGGAAAAAAGCCUCACUUGGAUAAAAACCCCGCAAAUUGUCCCAAAUAUCUCCUUCAUAUUGAACGCCACUGCAGCUGGCUGCUUUGUUCGGCAUCGAUCCCGCGGAGCUUGGCAUUUAACGGCCUGCAUUAGGACGGAGAGACGGCAGAAAACAUUUUGUCAAUACUUCCAAUAAUUGAGGGUGGAAUGACCUGCGUGCGGUGAGAGUCUUUGGAGGUGAAUGUAGGCAACGGCGGUGCAGGGUCCCGGCUCCCCACGACCGCCACCGCGACCACCAACCACCACGAGGGACUUGAAUCUCUCCGUCCGGUGAUAAUUCUCGCUCAAGGGCAGCGCCUUCCUAUUGGUCACCCGGGCGUGACGUCAUCACGCGGGGCUGUGCGCUUCACGGGGACUUGAGCUGGAGUUAACCCACCUUACCAGCUCCGACUACAACUUCGAGGCGGCGGGAGGAGGGGGGGGGGGGGAUAAUAUACGGGAUGGGAAAGACGCCUAAUUCCCACAGACAAGCUGACCUGCUUGGAAUUGCCCUUAUCGCUUUUCACUUUCUUUUUCUGCCCAACCCAAACAACCGAAUUACGCACGAGAAUGCACAUUAUUGUGCACCGGCAUCACGUACCGGCAGCACAUAUGUGCUCAUUUUAUUUUUCCCAAUGGCGUCGCACUCUUAUUUUACUCCCCGAUAGGAAAAAAAAACAUUAACAUAUACAAUGUAUGUGUCAAUAUAUAUCUAAGUAAAUAAAGAUCCGGUGAAUCCUAUCUUGACUUGUAGGACCAACCGGUCGAUUUGUGUACAUUUAUUUCCACUAAUAACUCUUCAUGUUUGCAUUGCCCCUAACAAUGGUCAUGAAAUAGAUUCGCCCCUCCCGCUCCCCUGCCCCCCCCCCCUUUUGCAGCCCUCCCUGUUUACUAGAACAAUUUAUCCCAUCAAAUUGGGCUGACGAUUGAAAAGAAACAGGCGCACGGCAGAGCUAAUAAUUACAUUAACAAUAACAAUAUCCCCAAAAAUGCAAUGGGUGACUUGGGGAUUCCAAAAUAACGUGUCAUAUUUUCUCACUAUAAUGAGGCCCG